UUCAUAAAAGAAGCAAACUUCAUGAAUGUUUUUUGUGAGCAACAAGUAUGUGCUCCAAUCACUACAUCACAAAAAAAUAAGAGUUGUAGAAAUGAUUGUAAAGUCAAGACAGCCAUGACAUGAUGUUCUUUACAAGUGUACGUACACUUUUGAGGGCGACUGUAUGCUGAAAUGUUCCACAGCCUGUAUGCCACAUGUCCAGUGACAGCAUUCUCCCAUAGGAAACAACUCCAGUUCUAACGAUUUAUCGACAUAUCAAUUUAUAUUCCUACAUCACAAGUAUAUCAAUUUGUGCUCGGCAAGUUUGCCUUCCGGAAGACAGGUCUCGAACGUUUUGAAGGAGAAUGAAAUCAAUUUUUUUCCAAAACAUUGGAUUGAAGAACUUUAUACGAAGUUUAACACUUUUAUGGAUCAGGACGUUAAACGUUAAGUUUGUUUGCCCGUCGGUGGUGUAAUCAAAACAAAAACGUCGGAUAGCUACGGCGGCUGAGAGAAGUCGUAACAAAAGCCGACGCCACAAGACGAUAUCAUGAAUUGCAACACAAAAAGGUUGUGCUACAGUACAAUUGCAGAAGCCACAACAAAGUCAAACCGCAACGUAACGGAAGUGACGGCUGCGCGGGCUACGGCGAGGCACAGACUUACGGAACACAACAACAACUGGCAGCCAAGGAAAAGUCAUUUUAUCAGAAACUAAUAAAUAAAUAAAUAUACAAUAAUAUAUAAUAAAAAACCCAAGUAGGAAGUGAGGGGCCAACACCAUCAGCAGGGCUGAGGGGGCACACCUGGGACACGGUCCAGGGCAGGGAACAGAAUCCAGUUAUGGCCCAGUCGAAGAACUUUAUUUAGCAGGUAAAUCUACUGUUAAAAUGUUGGUCAGUCUACUUUUACUAAAAACUGCUUGAAUGUUGAAAAUGUGAGCAGAAAAGGUUUCCUUCUGUUGAUUCAACUUAAGUGUGGGUUGGACUUAGACUUAGACAAACUUUAUGCAUCCAUCCAUCCAUUUUCUACCGCUUGUCCCUUUCAGGGUCACAGGGGGGUGUCGGAGCCUAUCUCAGCUGCAUUCGGGUGGAAGGCGGGGUACACUCUGGACAAGUCACCACAGAUAGACAGACAACAUUCACACUCACAUUGAAUGUGUCAUUAAUUCAUUUGAAUUUUAAUUCAAUAGAUAGUCAUUGUAACUACAAUAAUUAAUUGAAUGUGAAAUUGCAUUUCAUUAUUGGGUCAUUUAAUCAUUUCAAUAUUUAACUAUUCGACAAAUUCCUUAUUUCAAUGUUUACUUAUGCAGUCAUUUCAUGAAAUUAUUUCAUGAUUUAGGAAAAUUGCUCCACACAGUAGCUCAGUUUCAAAGGAUGGAAAGGAUAAUGCAGGUUUUAAGUAGACUAAAAACGUACCAUAGUAGCGAUAUUAAAGACAAGAUAUAUUUCAUCUUUACAUAUUAUGUAUACCAGGGGGAGGGAACCUAUGGCUCUAGAGCCAGAUGUGGCUCUUUUGAUGACUGCAUCUGGCUCUCAGAUACAUCUGACCUGACUUAACACGAUUAGUAAUGAAUAAUUCCGCCAGUAAUCAGUGUUAAAAAUAAUGUUUAACAUAUAAAACAUUCUUAUGCAUUUUAAUCCAUCCAUCCGUUUUCAACCGCACCUGUUCAAUAAGUCACAUCAAUGGUAAGAAGUCCAUCCAUCUAUUCUCUACCGCUUGUCCCUUUUGGCGUCACGGGGGUUGCUGGAGCCUAUCUUAGCUGCAUUUGGGCAGAAGGCGGUGUACACCCUGGACAAGUCGCCACCUCCUCACAGGGCCAACACAGACAACAUUCACACAUUAGGGACCAUUUAGUGUUGCCAAAGAAGUAUUUUAUUUAUUAUUGGUUAGCUUCAGAAUAAAAAUGAUAACAAAUAUAAGACUUAUACUCUAAAAAUGUAGGUCUUACUUAAAAAAAGUGCAUGCAUUUAGUUGUAUUCAGUGUUAAUACCUCGGUUGGUAAAGUGUCCGUGCCAUCAACUUGAGAGUUGCAGGUUCGAUUCCCGCUUGUGCCAUCCUAGUUACUGCCGUUGUGUCCUUGGGCAAGACACUUUACCCACCUGCUCCCAGUGCCACCCACACUGGUUUAAAUGUAACUUAGAUAUUGGGUUUCACUAUGUAAAGCGCUUUGAGUCACUAGAGAAAAGCGCUAUAUAAAUAUAAUUCACUAAUUCACUUCACUUAAAACAUAUGAUACGGCUCUCACGGUAAUUCACUUUCAAAAAUGUGGCUUUUAUGGCUCUCUCAGCCAAAAAGGUUCCCGACCCCUGAUGUGUACAGGAUACUGAUAUUAUAUAUCACAUUAUCCAUCCAUCCAUUGUCUACCGCUUAUUCCCUUUGGGGUUGCAGGGGGCGCUGGUGCCUAUCUCAGCUACAAUCGAGCGGAAGGCGGUGUACACCCUGGACAAGUCGGCACCUCAUCGCAGUAUAUUAUAUUGUUAUAUAAUAUAUAUACAACAUAUAACAAUUACCAUGUAGAAUAUUACAGUAUAUGUAACAGCUGCAGCAGUUGCACUUUAUUCAAAUAAGAUGUGAAUGCAUUGGCCGUUAAUUGUUGUGUACUUUGGCUCGUUUGUAUUGAUAAUUAUCUAAUUCCCUCACAAGAAGUAACAGGAAUAUAGCAAACUUGACAUGCAGGGUCCAGUAUUCACUAUUUAUUUCUCAGUCACACUGCUUGAAUAUUGUUUGCUAAAAGUUACUGAAUUGAUUUUAACUUACGUAAUCUUAUCGGUUGUAUUGUUCUAAAAAAAAAAAAGAACAUUAUCGUCACAAAUUCUGAAUCAAAUUGUCGAUAAAAAGUGUUAUCAUACAUGUCAUUUAUUUCUGUUGUUUUCUCCGUGUUUCUCGUGGAUUGGAUUUUCACAAUAAACUUGCACACCGUGGUCUGCAACUACCCGGGCCGCACUUUGGACACCCCCUGCUCUCCAGUGCCAAAACAGCCGCCCUUCGAGAAGCUGAUUGGCUGUCAUAAGCAGAGGGCGGGACUUUAGUGUGCAUUCUCAGCUGUGAUUGGUUUACCUACUUUGAACCCGGAAAGCAGACAUACUCUGUGUCAAAGAACAACAUUCUUCCGUCAAAACGCUUCUUUUUAUUUAUAAACGACAAGCCAAUCUUCCAGUCGGUGGAGACGUACACGAAGAAACGUUUGAGUGUGCUCUCGCUGGCCGGCAUCAUCAUCUUUUUUUUUUUUCUUUGUCAUGAAAAAGGUAGGUUUUUUGGGGGUUGGUGCACUAAUUGUAAGUGUAUCUUGUGUUUUUUAUGUUGAUUUAAUUUAAAAAAAUUGUUUUAAAUAAAUGAAAAUAAUAAAAAAAUCUUCUGCAACCCAGUGGUUGGGGACCACUGGUGUAAAUGGUAAAUAAAAAGAGAAUACAAUGAUUUGCAAAUCCUUUUCAACUUGUAUUUAAUUUAAUUUAUCUCAAAGACAAGAUACAUCAUGUUCACACUGAGAAACUGCAUUUUUUUGUUGUUGGGAAAAUACUAGCUCAUUUGGAAUUUGAAGCCUGCAACAGGCUUCAAAAAGCGCUGGCACACCUGGCAAAGAAGACUGAGACGCUGUAGUGCAUCAAAAAGUGACAGCGGUGUGUUAAGGAUAUCACCACAAUGGCUCAGGAACACUUCAGAAAACCACUAUCAGUAACUAAAGUUGAAUGCUACACCUGUAAGUGCAAGUUAAAACUCUACUAUGCAAAGCCAAAGCCAUUUAUCAACAACAUCCAGAAACGCUGUCGACUUCGCUGGGCCCGAGCUCAUCUAAGAUGGACUGAUGCAAAGUGGAAAAGUGUUUUGUAGUCUGACGAGUGCACUUUUCAAAUUAUUUUUGAAAACUGUCCAAAACAAAGAGGAAAAGAACCAUCCGGACUGUCCCAUACCAUGUGUGAUGGUAUGGGGGUGCAUUAGUGACCAAGGCAUGGCUAACUUACACAUCUGUGAAGGCACCAUUAAUGCUGAAAGGUACAUACAGCUUUUGGAACAACAUAUAGGGACGGCGUGGCGCAGUGGGAGAGUGGCCGUGCGCAACCCGAGGGUCACUGGUUCAAAUCCCACCUAGAACCAACCUCGUCACGUCCGUUGUGUCCUGAGCAAGACACUUCACCCUUGCUCCUGAUGGGUAAUGGUUGGUGCCUUGCAUGGCAGCUCCCUCCAUCAGUGUGUGAAUGUGUGUGUGAAUGGGUAAAUGUGGAAGUAGUGUCAAAGCGCUUUGAGUACCUUGAAGGUAGAAAAGCGCUAUACAAGUACAACCCAUUUAUCAUUUAUUAUAUGUUGCCAUCCAUGGACGCCCCUGCUUAUUUCAGCAAGACAAUGCUGUGUUCCAACAGUGUGGCUUCAUAUUAAAAGAGUGCAGGUACUACACUGGCCUGCCUGUAGUUCAGACCCGUCUCCCAUUGAAAAUGUGUGGUGCAAUAUGAAGGCUAAAAUAUGAGAAGGGGGACUGUUGAACAACUUAAGCUGUACAUCAAUCAAGAAUGGGAAAGAAUUCCACUUCAAAAAUGUGUCUCCUCAGUUCCCAAACCUGCACUGAGUGUUGUUCCUUUGACAUUAUAGGCAUUAUUGCCCUUGAAACAAGUCCUCGCUCGACCUUUUUCUUGACAUUUCACCUCCCAGAGGCUUGUGAGUCGUGUGACAUCUUCCCAAGUAGUGGGUCUCCAGCUUCAUUCUUCCGGACAUUCCGGUUGUCAGGCAUCCAGCCAGGAGGCGCAGGUAACGGAGGAGGAGCUACAGAUUCCCCCCCAUCCUCGAAGGUGUGUUUCCGCGGGGCUGCGACCGGUGUCUUUUCCCUAGGAUAGGGGCGUCGCUCGUCCACUACAACCACACCUUCAGGACGACUUCCUCGACUUCCUGCUUCUGUGACGGUCUUCAGCUUCCUCACUGAGGUCAGCCAGCGGGAUGAGGAGCUUGGCGACACGCCUCCUGACACAAAGAGAUACAUGACCUAGGAAGAUCUUCCCUUGACCUGAGAUCUACAAAGCGGAGAGGAAGCAGGACCUGAUGCAAGCUCCUGUCAUUUUUUCUUUGAACUGUUUUGUGACCGAGUGCAACAGCUUUUUACGACCCCCUCGCCCCCUAGAAACAGCUGUUGCUAUGUAAUCAGGGAAAGUCCAAAUAAAAGAGGAUGUGUGCAACCAUUUUGUGAGAGCGUGGUGGAAGACUGUACAAAAGUACAGCCCAGACGUUUCCCCUCAUGAGCCAAAUUGAAUCCUGUCUCUGUUUAAUUCCUUGCUUCUUGUCUGUUUAAUAGAUGUCAUCUGUGUUUGAACCUCAUUUAUUUAUGAGCCUCCAAUCUAUUUGUGGCAGGGCAGGGAAUACAGAUGAGGAAUAAUUAAUGGGUAAGGCAUUUAAAUAGUGUUAUAAACAUGAAAUAGUCAAAUGUUUCUGAUAACACUAGACUGAGUUAGUGCAUUGACAACAGCAUCUGCUUACUACAGGGAAACGAUGGACGGUGCCGCACUCAGGUCGCCCACAGGUGUGUCCAGCAAAUCAAUGGCUGUCUGCAGCUCCAGUUUUUUGUACAGAGACACGAUACUGGACUCUGCCCUGUUGUCUCGAAGCAGGAUGCGUCUCAGAAAGCGAUCGUUAAACUUUUUAAACCUGAGGCAUGGACAAAAGCACAAGGAAUCGAUCCAUUUUUAUGACCGAAAUGAUUGCAAUCAUGUAUUCCUGCAGCCCUACUUGUCUUUCCAGUAGUAAUGGCUCCAUUGGCCGCACAGGUCCUCGAUGCCACAAACAAUGUGCUCCAUCGCCUGAGCGAAAUCACGGUCAAUAUCAGAACAAUCAGAAUAGAUGAUCAACUACCGGCAUGUUCUUACUCUGUUGUGUAUUUCUACAUUGAUGUUGCUUGAGUCCUUGUUGGUCCGUCUGAUAUUCAUGUAUUCUAUGAUGGGACGAAUGCUGAUCCCCUGACAAUCAGGAAAAGAUGUCCGUGAUGGAAGUGUAGGGUCAAGGUACAAGACGGCCGCACCUGUAUGAAGACGGUGAAUAUGAUGACGGCGAUGGAAGCGGUGACAAACAAGUUCUUCCUGUUGAUGCUGUCGGGCAUGGUGAAGACCAGCGCAAAGCAGAUGGCCCCGCGCACGCCUCCGUAGGCCAGACCGAACUGGUCCUUGAAGGUGAAUUGUAUCGUCCGGAGCGGGUUGACGAUCUGAGACAGAACCAGAAUGCCUGCGGGACAGAAGAUGCUCGAAUCCAAGUCUGACGUGCCUGCGCUGGUGUUUCCGCCCACACUCACCGAUUCCUCUCCAGAGCAGGGCGAACAGGAGCGUGAACAGGAUGUAGCCCCAGUUCCACUCAUGUUCCGUCGUAAUGGUCACGACGCCCAGGAAGAAGAAGAUAAGAGUUUCUGAGAUGGUGGCCAACAUCUUGACCACAUGGCGGAUAGUAGUGCAGGACCUCUGGGAGACGUUCUCCUCUACGUAGUACUUCAUGGUUAUAGCACAUGUAAUAAUCCUGAAAGUAGAACAUAUGUGACUCACAGUAGCAAAUACUCACAAUUAUCUGUACUAAUAUUCAUGCCUUUACAAAGAGAAAAGCUACGCC